GGGACUCACCCAUGAAAUAAUCCAUCUCCUUCUAUUUUUGUACUAUAAUAGACCUGACCUAAAAUAGUCACCAAAGCCACAAUGUGCUUGCUCGCUAAAUCACUUUCCAAGUUAUUCCAAGCCCUGCUUAUUCUCAUAUUUCUAUCUUCUAUAUCUUUCUUCAUCAAUUCUUCUGCUUCCGCUGCAACUUCAGUCUCUGCCGAUGCAAAGAGUGAUGAACCAGUUAAAGGGGGAAAGGAAGCUGAUUCUCUCUUAAAAUGGAAAGCCAGUCUUGAUAACCAAAGCCAAUCUGUUUUAGAUUCUUGGGUUGGCAGCAGGCCUUGCAGUUGGGUUGGGGUCACUUGUGAUAGCUCUGGAAGUAUCACCAAUUUGAGCUUCAUUAAUUUACGUUUAAGAGGUACGCUUCAUAGUUUCAAUUUUUCAUGCUUUCCCAACCUUUUAAGUCUUGAGAUUUGUAACAACUCAUUGUAUGGGACCCUUCCGUCACAUAUCUGUAAUCUCUCCAAAAUUACCUUAUUGAACAUGUCCGGCAAUCAUCUCACAGGAAAUAUUCCAUCUGAGAUAGGUUUGCUGACAAAUCUUUCUAAGCUUGAUUUGUCAAGUAACAAUCUCACAGGUUCAAUCCCUGCUUCCAUUGGAAAAUUGAGGGAGUUAUCAAUUCUUCGGCUUUUUGAAAACGAACUCUCUGGAUCCAUCCCCCAAGAAAUUGGGAUGCUUAGUUUUCUUUCUGAACUCUAUUUGCAGGA
rnacentral:misc_RNA from 1 species